AACGAACGCUGGCGGCAUGCCUAACACAUGCAAGUCGAACGAGAUCUUCGGGUCUAGUGGCGCACGGGUGCGUAACGCGUGGGAAUCUGCCCUUUGGUUCGGAAUAACAGUUGGAAACGACUGCUAAUACCGGAUGAUGACGAAAGUCCAAAGAUUUAUCGCCAGAGGAUGAGCCCGCGUAGGAUUAGCUAGUUGGUGUGGUAAAGGCGCACCAAGGCGACGAUCCUUAGCUGGUCUGAGAGGAUGAUCAGCCACACUGGGACUGAGACACGGCCCAGACUCCUACGGGAGGCAGCAGUGGGGAAUAUUGGACAAUGGGCGAAAGCCUGAUCCAGCAAUGCCGCGUGAGUGAUGAAGGCCUUAGGGUUGUAAAGCUCUUUUACCCGGGAUGAUAAUGACAGUACCGGGAGAAUAAGCUCCGGCUAACUCCGUGCCAGCAGCAGCCGCGGUAA
rnacentral:rRNA from 1 species